ACGAAGGGUGCAAGCGUUAUCGGCAUUACUGGGCGUAAAGCGUGCGCAGGCGGUUCGCUAAGACAGGUGUGCAAUCCCCGGGCUUAACCUGGGAAUGGCGUUUUGAACUGGCAGUCUAGAGUGCGUCAGAGGGGGGUGGAAUUCCACGUGUAGCAGUGAAAUGCGUAGAGAUGUGGAGGAACACCGAUGGCGAAGGCAGCCCCCUGGGAUGACACUGACGCUCAUGUACGAAAGCGUGGGUAGCAAACAG
rnacentral:rRNA from 1 species